UCCGAAGGGAGCUAGCGUUGUUCGGGAUCACUGGGCGUAAAGCGCACGUAGGCGGAUGUGCCAGUCAGGGGUGAAAUCCCGGAGCUCAACUUCGGAACUGCCCUUGAUACAGCACGUCUUGAGUCCGAGAGAGGUGGAUGGAAUUCCUAGUAUAGAGGUGAAAUUCGUAGAUAUUAGGAAGAACACCGGUGGCGAAGGCGGUCCACUGGCUCGGUACUGACGCUGAGGUGCGAAAGCGUGGGGAGCAAACAGG
rnacentral:rRNA from 1 species